rnacentral:tRNA from 1 species
GGAGGUAUGACUCAAGUGAUAGAGUACCUGUCUAGCAAGCAUGAAGCCUUGAGUUCAAAUCCCAGUACCACCA